GACGAACGCUGGCGGCGUGCUUAACACAUGCAAGUCGAACGGAAAGGCCCUGCUUUUGUGGGGUGCUCGAGUGGCGAACGGGUGAGUAACACGUGAGUAACCUGCCCUUGACUUUGGGAUAACUUCAGGAAACUGGGGCUAAUACCGGAUAGGAGCUCCUGCUGCAUGGUGGGGGUUGGAAAGUUUCGGCGGUUGGGGAUGGACUCGCGGCUUAUCAGCUUGUUGGUGGGGUAGUGGCUUACCAAGGCUUUGACGGGUAGCCGGCCUGAGAGGGUGACCGGCCACAUUGGGACUGAGAUACGGCCCAGACUCCUACGGGAGGCAGCAGUGGGGAAUAUUGCACAAUGGGCGGAAGCCUGAUGCAGCAACGCCGCGUGCGGGAUGACGGCCUUCGGGUUGUAAACCGCUUUCGCCUGUGACGAGGCGUGAGUGACGGUAAUGGGUAAAGAAGCACCGGCUAACUACGUGCCAGCAGCCGCGGUGAUACGUAGGGUGCGAGCGUUGUCCGGAUUUAUUGGGCGUAAAGGGCUCGUAGGUGGUUGAUCGCGUCGGAAGUGUAAUCUUGGGGCUUAACCCUGAGCGUGCUUUCGAUACGGGUUGACUUGAGGAAGGUAGGGGAGAAUGGAAUUCCUGGUGGAGCGGUGGAAUGCGCAGAUAUCAGGAGGAACACCAGUGGCGAAGGCGGUUCUCUGGGCCUUUCCUGACGCUGAGGAGCGAAAGCGUGGGGAGCGAACAGGCUUAGAUACCCUGGUAGUCCACGCUGUAAACGGUGGGUACUAGGUGUGGGGUCCAUUCCACGGGUUCCGUGCCGUAGCUAACGCUUUAAGUACCCCGCCUGGGGAGUACGGCCGCAAGGCUAAAACUCAAAGGAAUUGACGGGGCCCCGCACAAGCGGCGGAGCAUGCGGAUUAAUUCGAUGCAACGCGUAGAACCUUACCUGGGUUUGACAUGGAUCGGGAGCGCUCAGAGAUGGGUGUGCCUCUUUUGGGGUCGGUUCACAGGUGGUGCAUGGCUGUCGUCAGCUCGUGUCGUGAGAUGUUGGGUUAAGUCCCGCAACGAGCGCAACCCUUGUUCACUGUUGCCAGCACGUUAUGGUGGGGACUCAGUGGAGACCGCCGGGGUCAACUCGGAGGAAGGUGGGGAUGACGUCAAGUCACCAUGCCCCUUAUGUCCAGGGCUUCACGCAUGCUACAAUGGCUGGUACAGAGAGUGGCGAGCCUGUGAGGGUGAGCGAAUCUCGGAAAGCCGGUCUCAGUUCGGAUUGGGGUCUGCAACUCGACCUCAUGAAGUCGGAGUCGCUAGUAAUCGCAGAUCAGCAACGCUGCGGUGAAUACGUUCCCGGG
rnacentral:rRNA from 1 species